UCCGGGGCUUAGUGCCGGAGCUAACGCAAUAAGCACUCCGCCUGGGGAGUACGACCGCAAGGUUGAAACUCAAAGGAAUUGACGGGGGCCCGCACAAGCGGUGGAGCAUGUGGUUUAAUUCGAAGCAACGCGAAGAACCUUACCAGGUCUUGACAUCCCGAUGCUAUUCUUAGAGAUAGGAAGUUACUUCGGUACAUCGGAGACAGGUGGUGCAUGGUUGUCGUCAGCUCGUGUCGUGAGAUGUUGGGUUAAGUCCCGCAACGAGCGCAACCCUUAUUGUUAGUUGCCAUCAUUAAGUUGGGCACUCUAGCGAGACUGCCGGUAAUAAACCGGAGGAAGGUGGGGAUGACGUCAAAUCAUCAUGCCCCUUAUGACCUGGGCUACACACGUGCUACAAUGGUCGGUACAACGAGUUGCGAGCCGGUGACGGCAAGCUAAUCUCUGAAAGCCGAUCUCAGUUCGGAUUGGAGGCUGCAACUCGCCUCCAUGAAGUCGGAAUCGCUAGUAAUCGCGGAUCAGCACGCCGCGGUGAAUACGUUCCCGGGCCUUGUACACACCGCCCGUCACACCACGAGAGUUUGUAACACCCGAAGUCGGUGAGGUAACCUUUUAGGGGCCAGCC
rnacentral:rRNA from 1 species